GUGGGUGAACCUGCGGAAGGAUCAUUAACACGUAUCCAACGUUAAACCCCCCGUGAACGUACAAUCUUUUGGUUCUCCGGUUACGCGAAACAAUGGUUGCAAUCCCUGGUCAACAGUUUUGAUCAGGGACUUCAAGCACGUAACUGUCAUAAUAAAAGAGGAUUUCCCGGCGUAAGCUUUACUUGACCCGGUGAGUGGGUUCGACUAUCCCAAGGUAUGGCGUGCUAUGUGAAAGUGUUCAACCUGCUUAUGUUUAUCUUUGUAAAGUAGAAAGGUCACAAGAUGCUGUAAGAUCCACGCUU
rnacentral:misc_RNA from 1 species